rnacentral:rRNA from 1 species
GACGAACGCUGGCGGCGUGCUUAACACAUGCAAGUCGAACGGGCCCGCUCUCUUUUUUGGGGGUGGGUUGAGUGGCGAACGGGUGAGUAUCACGUGAGUAACCUGCCCCCUGCUCCUGGAUAACUGCUUGAAAGGGCGGCUAAUACGGGGUGUGCCGGCUGGUCCGCAUGGGCCUGGUCGGGAUAGUUUCAUCUUCGGGUGUUUCGGUGGGGGAUGGGCUCGCGGCCUAUCAGCUUGUUGGUGGGGUGAUGGCCCACCAAGGCGGUGACGGGUAGCCGGCCUGAGAGGGUGGGCGGCCACACUGGGACUGAGACACGGCCCAGACUCCUGCGGGAGGCAGCAGUGGGGGGUAUUGCGCAAUGGGCGGAAGCCUGAUGCAGCGACGGCGCGUGAGGGAUGGAGGCCUUCGGGUUGUGAACCUCUUUCUCCGGUGGUGAAGGCCCUGUCCGUUGCGGCGGGGUUGACGGUAGCCGGGUAUGAAGCGCCGGCUAACUACGUG